AGUGAACGCUGGCGGUAGGCCUAACACAUGCAAGUCGAACGGCAGCACAGUAAGAGCUUGCUCUUACGGGUGGCGAGUGGCGGACGGGUGAGGAAUACAUCGGAAUCUACUUUUUCGUGGGGGAUAACGUAGGGAAACUUACGCUAAUACCGCAUACGACCUACGGGUGAAAGCAGGGGAUCUUCGGACCUUGCGCGAUUGAAUGAGCCGAUGUCGGAUUAGCUAGUUGGCGGGGUAAAGGCCCACCAAGGCGACGAUCCGUAGCUGGUCUGAGAGGAUGAUCAGCCACACUGGAACUGAGACGCGGUACAGACCCCUACGGGAGGCAGCAGUGGGGAAUAUUGGACAAUGGGAGCAAGCCUGAUCCAGCCAUACCGCGUGGGUGAAGAAGGCCUUCGGGUUGUAAAGCCCUUUUGUUGGGAAAGAAAAGCAGCAGGUUAAUACCCCGCUGUUCUGACGGUACCCAAAGAAUAAGCACCGGCUAACUUCGU
rnacentral:rRNA from 1 species